AUGGGACACUUUGGAUCAACUUCUCGAGGUGCUUUUGGACUCUCCUCACAGCAACCAAAACUAGAAUCAUACGAAAGAGCAAAGAAAGAUAUUUCUCCUUUGCCUUCUGCUUUUAUCUCAAGUCCGUUAAUGAUUAACCCAAUAGGCUGGGACAGAGUUUAUUUGGACACUGCGAAUCAAGAUGCUAGGCAUCUUCUUACUUCACUAUCAAGCUAA